rnacentral:rRNA from 1 species
CCUACGGGUGGCAGCAGUGAGGAAUAUUGGUCAAUGGACGAGAGUCUGAACCAGCCAAGUAGCGUGAAGGAUGACUGCCCUAUGGGUUGUAAACUUCUUUUAUAUGGGAAUAAAACGUUCCACGUGUGGGAUUUUGUAUGUACCAUAUGAAUAAGGAUCGGCUAACUCCGUGCCAGCAGCCGCGGUAAUACGGAGGAUCCGAGCGUUAUCCGGAUUUAUUGGGUUUGAAGGGAGCGUAGGUGGAUUGUUAAGUCAGUUGUGAAAGUUUGCGGCUCAACCGUAAAAUUGCAGUUGAAACUGGCAGUCUUGAGUACAGUAGAGGUGGGCGGAAUUCGUGGUGUAGCGGUGAAAUGCUUAGAUAUCACGAAGAACUCCGAUUGCGAAGGCAGUUCACUGGACUGCAACUGACACUGAGGCUCGAAAGUGUGGGUAUCAAACAGGAUUAGAUACCCCUGUAGUC